AUACGUAGGGAGCAAGCGUUAUCCGGAUUUAUUGGGCGUAAAGCGCGCGUAGGCGGCUUGUUAAGUCAGUUGUGAAAGUUUGCGGCUCGACCGUAAAAUUGCAGUUGAAACUGGCAGUCUUGAGUACAGUAGAGGUGGGCGGAAUUCGUGGUGUAGCGGUGAAAUGCUUAGAUAUCACGAAGAACUCCGAUUGCGAAGGCAGCUCACUAGACUGUUACUGACACUGAUGCUCGAAAGUGUGGGUAUCAAACAGGAUUAGAUACCCUGGUAGUCCACACAGUAAACGAUGAAUACUCGCUGUUUGCGAUAUACAGUAAGCGGCCAAGCGAAAGCAUUAAGUAUUCCACCUGGGGAGUACGCCGGCAACGGUGAAACUCAAAUGAAUUGACGGGG
rnacentral:rRNA from 1 species